UUUUUUUUUUUUUUUUUUUUUUUUUUUUUUUUUUUUUUUUUUUUUUUUUUUUUUUUUUUUUUUUUUUUUUUUUUUUUUUUUUUUUUUUUUUUUUUUUUUUUUUUUUUUUUUUUUUUUUUUUUUUUUUUUUUUUUUUUUUUUUUUUUUUUUUUUUUUUUUUUUUUUUUUUUUUUUUUUUUUUUUUUUUUUUUUUUUUUUUUUUUUUUUUUUUUUUUUUUUUUUUUUUGGGAAGACGGGGGGCUGACAUCUCAAGGUGCUGCAGACAGUCCUGGUGGUGGUUCUCUCUCUCUCUUUUUCUUUCUUUUUUUACUUUAAAAAAUUUUUUAAUGUUUAUUUAUUUCUGAGACAGGAGAGACAGAGUAUGAGCAGGGAAGGGGCAGAGAGAGGGAGACACAGAAUCGGAAGCAGGAUCCAGGCUCGGAGCUGUUAGUACAGAGGCUGGUGAGGGGCUCGAACUCACAAGCUGCGAGAUCAUGACAGGUGCCCUCCCAUCUCUUGUGAAGUUUUAUUUGUUUCCUAGGAUUUUACAUGAGGACAAUCUAGGACAAUGGUCAUGGGUACUUGAGGUGGGCAGAGAGAAUGGGGGCAAGGCCUUGAAGAGGGUGGUUCCUGGCCCAGACUUUGUGUUUGGGGGGAAACGCCAUGCAGACGGGCCUUUGCUGGGCCCGAGGAGGGGACAGGUAUGGGGACCCCAGCCGCAGGCACUGCUGUCCCGGUGAUGCCACCUCAGGGCGCCCGAGUCCACCUGCCCCUUGGGGAGCACUUGCGACCCUCCGCUCUGCCUGAGGGCUGUGUCCUGCCCCAGAGGCACCUCCUCUCCUGCCAGCCAGGGCCACGUGCCCCAGGGAGCGCGGGUACCCCGACGGCGCUGGGGACAGAGCCAGUCUGCUUAGGACACCGUCUCCCAGAAGCCCUGAGCUCCAGGCCGCCACGGUGCUCCCCCUCCUCCUCCGGGCUGCGUGGGCCCAAGUCCUCCUCUGCUCAGGGACCACCCUCUGUCCAGGCUCCACACGCUGGCACUUGGGGCAGGUCGUCUGGACCUUCUGGACUCGUGUUUCCUUGCCGGGAACAUGUGCAGAGGCCUCCCUCCCAGACUCGCCAGAGGGAACACGGCCAGGAACAUGCAGACCGUGCCAAGCGCUGACCUUCCUCCACGUGGGACCUGUUGACCUCCUGGAUCGUCUCCACCUCCUCCGCAAACAACGCUGAGUGUUCCCAGAAGGGGGACAGCGGGCAGGGGCCAAGGAGGGGCUUCCGGAAUCCUGUGCCCUGGGGGACUCUGGGACAGCCUUCCAGGUGGCCCUUUAUGUCCUCCAGGCACCAGGCCACGAUUCCACCUCAUGUCUCAGGGAAUGCGCCAACCCAUCUGAAGGCCCGUUACGUCCCCAUGUCACAGAUGGGGACACCGGGGCUAAUAGCACAGCCUGAGUCACUAGUAAGACGAGCUGGGUCAGGAAGCCCAUCUCCUUGACUUUGGAUUGUCCUACCCGCAGGCGUGCAUCUUGGCGUCCUGGGGCUCGGGGUCCCUCCUCCUGGGGGAUCCCACCACCCGCCGAGGGCCCCUACCCACUGAAUCAGGGGAGCAGAGCUGACCAACCUGCCUGGGGCCCCACAUGGGGCUGGGGAAGGGCCGACUCCGGGCUCUGGGGGCUCUCCCAGUACUGGGCCAGCCGGUCCCCUGCAGGACAAGGACUUCUCGCUGGGGAUCGGCUGGGGCCUCAGCUUCCUCACAUUGUCACCUGGGCUGGCGGUCCCAAGACCAGAAACCUGCCCGUCUGAAGGUGACCACCGCUGCCUCCCUUGGGUUUCACUUGCCCGAGUCCCUCCCCGGGACGACCCGCAUCUCUGACGCCUGCUCCCGUGGGGGUCGCCUCCCCUUGGACUGGGACAGGUCUGGCCUCCAUCCCGGGGAACGCACUGGCUUUGGCGCAUUAUUUGGCCCAGAGGCCUGUGAACCUUUCUGGCCCUGGGUCGUGAGGGAUGUUCUCCCUUCUGUGGUGUGACCGUCCAGCCUUCUGCAUCUCCCGGUUUCUGUUUGGGCCACGGGAGGACCAGCCGUGUCCUGUCUGGCUUCAGGCUGUGGUGUCACAGCACGCACAGGGGUCUCCACCCCGAGACCAUUGUCACUGAAGGGGCCUCCUUUU
rnacentral:lncRNA from 1 species